GUCCACGCCCUAAACGAUGCUAACUCGAUGUUUGGGCCUUGUGCUUGAGCAUCCAAGGGAAACCGUUAAGUUAGCCACCUGGGGAGUACGACCGCAAGGUUGAAACUCAAAGGAAUUGACGGGGUCCGCACAAGCGGUGGAGCAUGUGGUUUAAUUCGAUGAUACGCGAGGAACCUUACCUAGGCUAGAAUGUGAGCGCUAUCUGGUGAAAAGCCGGAGUUCCUACGGGACGCGAAACAAGGUGCUGCAUGGUUGUCGU
rnacentral:rRNA from 1 species